CAACUCGACUACAUGAAGCUGGAAUCGCUAGUAAUCGCGAAUCAGAAUGUCGCGGUGAAUACGUUCCCGGGUCUUGUACACACCCGCCCGUCACACCAUGGGAGUCGGAUAUGCCCGAAGUCAGUGACCCAACCUUUUGGAGGGAGCUGCCGAAGGUGGAGCCGAUAACUGGGGUGAAGUCGUAACAAGGUACC
rnacentral:rRNA from 1 species